rnacentral:miRNA from 1 species
GGCGGGCGCGGGUGUGG